rnacentral:rRNA from 1 species
GCCUACAUGAAGCUGGAGUUACUAGUAAUCGCAGAUCAGAAUGCUGCGGUGAAUGCGUUCCCGGGUCUUGUACACACCGCCCGUCACACCACGGAAGUUGGGGGCGCCCGAAGCCACUUAGCUAACCCUUUUGGGAAGCGAGUGUCGAAGGUGAAAUCAAUAACUGGGGUGAAGUCGUAACAAGGUAAC